rnacentral:lncRNA from 1 species
CCCAUUCUCCUAAAUCUAAAAAAGAAAUCCCUAGAGCACUUAUCAUUCACAUGCUGAUUUUAAUAACACUUUACAAAACACAUCGAAUGAUAGAAAUGGGCCAGAGCUAGGAAGGACAUCAUUGUCAUAAACGAGUGUACCCCAACCGUGUGAGAGUCGACUGAAUCCAAAAAAGGUAAAGUCCUGUGCUUAAGCAUUGUCAUAAUGUUACCAUAGCUGGAGAAGGCAGUUUCAGCCUCAAUACUACCAGCGUACCAAUCAACUGUUCCUUUUGCAUGGACUCAAUAAUUUUAGCCUAGUAUUAACGAAGUUCCUAGUACGUUUCACGUUUCACAUUUUAUUACCUGAGUCCUUGUUUCAAGGACAUCCAAAUAAAUAAGCAACGUGAAUGUAAGAAAAACAGUAUACUCACUCACAUAUUAAUUCAUUAAAGAAAAAUGUUCGGCAGAACAUUAUAAACUUAAAAGUUACAAUUACAACAUAAAUAGUUGCAAAAAGCACCAACUCAUCUCCAGAAAACAAAAACAAAAAAAGAUAACGGAUGAGAUUCAAACCAGAUGAUGACCAGCGGAUAUGUUGUCAUAAAUAUAUAGAC